rnacentral:lncRNA from 1 species
GAAAAGCCAUGAAAAGAAAAAAACCAAGUGGCCUAAAGAUACACCUUUAGCGAACGCUGGACAGCAUUGCAGCAAGAGCCUAUGACAGAGUCUUUUUCCAUCCUGAAGUCAGGAUCCACUGGAUAAAGUUUAUCAAGAGGACUUCGUCUUCUUAGUAUGUGAUUUCCAGAAAUGUGGACAUUGAAGGAGAGCACAUAUCCUCUUAACAUUUUCAACUGUGAUGCUCUUCUAAUUGCACCCACAUCUCCCUGUCCCUUGCCACUCCAAUCUAUUCUCCACAAUGCAGAUCAAAGUAUUUCUGCAAAAUGCAAAUCUGAUUAUGUCUCUUCCCUAUUGAAAAUGGCUUUAAAGUCCCCCAUUGCUCUUAGGAUGAAGUCCAAAUUCCUUAUUUUGGCUUACAAGCCAAAAUCCAGCCCUGGAUCCAGUCCUGGCUUACCUCUCUAAUUGUUUUUUAACUUUACCACCUACCACCUACCACCAGCACACAUCUCCUCUGCUUUCCAACUAUAUCGAAAAGCACUUAAUUCCGUUUGCUCUCUUGUCUCUGUCUUCGGCAUUUUGUUCCCUCCUCUCCUGCUCCCCACGUACUCUUAAUGUAGACUUUAUUUCAUAAACACAUAUGCUCCUGUUUGCACAAACUCAUGUAAGAAUACGUGUUUCAGGUGGUAUAAAGAAUAAGAUUUAACUGCUACUAUUAUACACUACAAAUUCUGUAGUGAUACUACACACCAGCAUGUAACUUGGAAAUCUAAAUACUGUCAAAUUUUUG